rnacentral:rRNA from 1 species
UACGUAGGGGGCGAGCGUUGUCCGGAAUCAUUGGGCGUAAAGCGCGUGUAGGCGGCUUUGCAAGUCGGGUGUGAAAGCCCUCAGCUCAACUGAGGAAGUGCGCCCGAAACUGCAGAGCUUGAGUGCCGGAGAGGGUGGCGGAAUUCCCCAAGUAGAGGUGAAAUUCGUAGAUAUGGGGAGGAACACCGGUGGCGAAGGCGGCCACCUGGACGGUAACUGACGCUGAGACGCGAAAGCGUGGGGAGCAAACAGG